rnacentral:rRNA from 1 species
CAGCAGCCACGGUAAUACGGAGGGGGCUAGCGUUGUUCGGAAUUACUGGGCGUAAAGCGCACGUAGGCGGCUUGGUAAGUUAGAGGUGAAAGCCUGGAGCUCAACUCCAGAAUUGCCUUUAAGACUGCCGAGCUAGUAGGUGAGAGAGGUAAGUGGAACUCCGAGUGUAGAGGUGAAAUUCGUAGAUAUUCGGAAGGACACCAGUGGCGAAGGCGGCUUACUGGCUCAUUCUAGACGCUGAGGUGCGAAAGCGUGAGGAGCAAACAGGAUUAGAUACCCCCGUAGUCCCUGUCUCUUAUAC